UUGAAGAGUUUGAUCAUGGCUCAGAUUGAACGCUGGCGGCAGGCCUAACACAUGCAAGUCGAGCGGUAGCACAGAGAGCUUGCUCUCGGGUGACGAGCGGCGGACGGGUGAGUAAUGUCUGGGAAACUGCCUGAUGGAGGGGGAUAACUACUGGAAACGGUAGCUAAUACCGCAUAACGUCGCAAGACCAAAGUGGGGGACCUUCGGGCCUCAUGCCAUCAGAUGUGCCCAGAUGGGAUUAGCUAGUAGGUGGGGUAACGGCUCACCUAGGCGACGAUCCCUAGCUGGUCUGAGAGGAUGACCAGCCACACUGGAACUGAGACACGGUCCAGACUCCUACGGGAGGCAGCAGUGGGGAAUAUUGCACAAUGGGCGCAAGCCUGAUGCAGCCAUGCCGCGUGUGUGAAGAAGGCCUUCGGGUUGUAAAGCACUUUCAGCGGGGAGGAAGGCGUUAAGGUUAAUAACCUCAUCGAUUGACGUUACCCGCAGAAGAAGCACCGGCUAACUCCGUGCCAGCAGCCGCGGUAAUACGGAGGGUGCAAGCGUUAAUCGGAAUUACUGGGCGUAAAGCGCACGCAGGCGGUCUGUCAAGUCGGAUGUGAAAUCCCCGGGCUCAACCUGGGAACUGCAUUCGAAACUGGCAGGCUAGAGUCUUGUAGAGGGGGGUAGAAUUCCAGGUGUAGCGGUGAAAUGCGUAGAGAUCUGGAGGAAUACCGGUGGCGAAGGCGGCCCCCUGGACAAAGACUGACGCUCAGGUGCGAAAGCGUGGGGAGCAAACAGGAUUAGAUACCCUGGUAGUCCACGCCGUAAACGAUGUCGAUUUGGAGGUUGUGCCCUUGAGGCGUGGCUUCCGGAGCUAACGCGUUAAAUCGACCGCCUGGGGAGUACGGCCGCAAGGUUAAAACUCAAAUGAAUUGACGGGGGCCCGCACAAGCGGUGGAGCAUGUGGUUUAAUUCGAUGCAACGCGAAGAACCUUACCUGGUCUUGACAUCCACAGAACUUUGCAGAGAUGGAUUGGUGCCUUCGGGAACUGUGAGACAGGUGCUGCAUGGCUGUCGUCAGCUCGUGUUGUGAAAUGUUGGGUUAAGUCCCGCAACGAGCGCAACCCUUAUCCUUUGUUGCCAGCGGUCCGGCCGGGAACUCAAAGGAGACUGCCAGUGAUAAACUGGAGGAAGGUGGGGAUGACGUCAAGUCAUCAUGGCCCUUACGACCAGGGCUACACACGUGCUACAAUGGCAUAUACAAAGAGAAGCGACCUCGCGAGAGCAAGCGGACCUCAUAAAGUAUGUCGUAGUCCGGAUUGGAGUCUGCAACUCGACUCCAUGAAGUCGGAAUCGCUAGUAAUCGUAGAUCAGAAUGCUACGGUGAAUACGUUCCCGGGCCUUGUACACACCGCCCGUCACACCAUGGGAGUGGGUUGCAAAAGAAGUAGGUAGCUUAACCUUCGGGAGGGCGCUUACCACUUUGUGAUUCAUGACUGGGGUGAAGUCGUAACAAGGUAACCGUAGGGGAACCUGCGGUUGGAUCACCUCCUU
rnacentral:rRNA from 1 species